rnacentral:rRNA from 1 species
AGUGAACGCUGGCGGUAGGCCUAACACAUGCAAGUCGAACGGCAGCACAGUAAGAGCUUGCUCUUACGGGUGGCGAGUGGCGGACGGGUGAGGAAUACAUCGGAAUCUACUUUUUCGUGGGGGAUAACGUAGGGAAACUUACGCUAAUACCGCAUACGACCUACGGGUGAAAGCAGGGGAUCUUCGGACCUUGCGCGAUUGAAUGAGCCGAUGUCGGAUUAGCUAGUUGGCGGGGUAAAGGCCCACCAAGGCGACGAUCCGUAGCUGGUCUGAGAGGAUGAUCAGCCACACUGGAACUGAGACACGGUCCAGACUCCUACGGGAGGCAGCAGUGGGGAAUAUUGGACAAUGGGCGCAAGCCUGAUCCAGCCAUACCGCGUGGGUGAAGAGGGCCUUCGGGUUGUAAAGCCCUUUUGUUGGGAAAGAAAAGCAGCAGGUUAAUACCACGCUGUUCUGACGGUACCCAAAGAAUAAGCACCGGCUAACUUCGUG